CUCAUCAUCCUUGGGCUGCUUGGAGAAUAAGCAUGUGAAGGACUGUACUUGGCCGAAGAAGGAUUGUAGCUCGGUGAAGUGGGGCUGUAGUUCGGUGAAGUAGGGCUGUAGCUCGGUGACGUCGGGCUGUAACCAGGCGAUGUAGGGCUGUAUGCAGGCGAUGUAGGGCUGUAUGAGGGCGAGGUAGGGCUGUAUGACGGGGAUGUCGGGCUGUAUGAGGGCGACGUGGGGCUGUAUGAGGGUGAUGUCGGGCUGUAUGAGGGCGAUGUUGGGCUGUACGAGGGAGAAGUGGGGCUGUAUGAUGGCGACGUUGGGCUGUAAGAUGGCGACGUCGGGCUGUAUGCAGGAGAUGUCGGACUGUAUGCUGGCGAGGUCGGACUAUAAACCGGUGAUGUUGGACUAUAGCUCGGAGAUGUGGGGCUGUAGCUUGGUGAUGUUGGGCUGUAGCUCGGAGAUGUGGGGCUGUAGCUAGGAGAUGUGGGGCUGUAGCUCGGGGAUGUUGGCGAGUAUGAUGGACUGGUCGGAGAGUAUGAUGGACUGGUCGGGCUGUAGGAAGGAGAGCCAGGCGUAUAUGAUGGAGAGGUGGGGCUGUAGCUGGGCGAUGCAGGGCUGUAUGAUGGAGAAGUGGGACUGUAACCAUGUCC
rnacentral:lncRNA from 1 species